AAGACGUUUCAUCAUUUAGUUCCAAAUGCUAGAACUCAUGCCUAUUUCAUUCAAAGCAUGUUAUUGAUUUGCAUAACACAUAUUCAAGAUGAAGUUGUUUAGUGAUCCAAGAGCCAAAAAGCCUAUCCCAUUCAUUAUAUGUUUAAGUUUAACCCCGUUGAGCCUUGUUUAGCCUACGUUCUUUGUUAACCCACACUAUCCUCACCUAGCCUAGAUUAGGACCAUCCAUACCCUUGUUCUUGAAGCAUAGUAAAGUCUGACUCAAAAUGAAUUCCUUUUGAUUAAUGUAUUGCAGAAAACAAGUGUGGGGGAAGUAAUUCUUGUGUGUGUGUGUGCCAAAGUCCUUAAUAAGGCACGGGUCGAAAAAAAAAAAGUUGUGAAAAUGUAUGAAAAAGAGUUCUAAAGUGUUGUUUGUUGAAGAAAGGGUCCAAACAUUGAAUUCGGCCCUAAGUGUUGCUUAAAUCUUCCAUUUGUGUUAAAAGUUGAUUUCUGCAUUCCAAAGUGAAUUCUAAGUUUCGAUUUCAUUACUUUGCUUGCUAUUGCUUUAAGAACGUUUGUUAUCCCUAUCUUUCCUUUGUUAACCAUUACCCCAAGCCCCGUUACAACCCUUGACUUCUAUCUUGAGUGUUAUGUGUUUCAAUUUGUGGAGUUUGAAUUUGGUAUGAGCAUAUGGUGUCACUGGUUCUCGCAUCUAAGUAGUAGCAUUCCAUUCAUGAGAUCAUAUCUAAACAUGCUUAAUAACUCCAAAAAUUGCUUUCUUUGUAACACAUAUAUGUGAGUGUUCGUUUUCAUGUUGACAUCAAUCUUCUCACAUAUAACUAGUGUAGGGUGUGUAGUCAGAAAAUGUGUGAAAAUAGAGAGUAUCUUGUAAGGAAUUGAGAAAAUUCUCUAAGGCAUGUUACUACAUUCAAAACAUCAUUUUAAUUGGUUAAAUGUGAACUAGUAAGUGGUGACUGUGAUUAAGUAUGUGCUCAAGUGUGAAGAUAACUAAAAUCUGUGGGAAUAAUGAUUUUUAACAUGUCAUGUGCAUUGGAAAUCCCUGAGGCAAAUGUUGGAAGGAUUAGAAUGUGUUUUGUUUGUUUGUUUCGUUUUGCUCGAGGACUAGCAAAAGCUAAGUGUGGG
rnacentral:lncRNA from 1 species